ensembl:lncRNA
AGCGGCUGCAGCUGGGAGAUGCGCAGCGCCGGCCACAAGUUCCCCGCCGCGCACCCGCGGCCGCCACCGGCACGGGGAGGGCUCAGGUUGCAGCAGGAACGGGCUUGGGAGCCGGGCGUGCCCGCACCGCCAGGCCGAGAGUACCCGCGCGCGGCACGGAGACGAAGCCGGAGAACGGAGGUGGCGGCUCGGACGGAGCGCAGGAGCGGCGCGGGGACCUGUUGACCGAGCGAGGCCAGCCCGUGCCGGAGCGGGACCCCGAGCCGAGGGCAGCCCGCCGCCGAGCCGAGCCGAGCCGGGAGCGGCGGGCAGCGAGGGGUCCGAUCGGCGCGAGGCGGGGAGGAGGCGCGGCGCCGGGGGAGCUCCAGGUGCUGCGCUCACGCUGCCCACAGGGCGGGCGAUCGUGUCCGUGCGGCCAUGUGCUCCGUGCGGAGCGCACAUAAAUAAGCGGGUGUGUGCGGCACAGGUAUGUUCAUACGAUUUGAUUUGUAUAUCGUGGAGCGUGUAAAGCUUUUCAAGGUAACUGCGGUGCAGAAGUAAUUACUUUAUUACCUCCGAAACGUUCUGCAGUUCGCAUUUAACAGUGCUCUGAAUAAUUACGAGUCAUUACGCAGCCGUGCGCUCUCCGAAGCCCGCGUACGGCGGCAUACCUGGCCGGGGCCGGUUCUGAUAAAUACCAGGCAGCGUUCCAUCGGUUUUCUUUAAAAACUCGCAGCGAGUUUAUCACUUAGUUAUACCUCAGCCCGCCGUCUCGCUGCACCGCGGCUGAGAUUCCAGCGGUGGCUGCCCCUGCCGCACCGUGAGACGCACUCGACAGCUGAUUGUACGGAUGCUCUCGGGAACGGCAGCGAGCGAGUCCUGCCGGCAGUGUGCCCUCAAUGCUGGCACGGAGUAACUGCGCGGGCGAAGCGGAGCCGUACCUCAGCUCAGCGCUCCCCUCGGCCGGACGGGCGCUGCUGUCGGCAUUGAUCACAAUAACGCGCACUGCCCGCCGCCCCCCGCGCUGCCGUUGUCAUGUGACGAGAGGGCGACAGCAGACCGAGAAAAGGCGUCGGGAGGCGUUCUUGGAGCGCCGUAUCCACGGGCUUUAUUAAAGCAGGAUUGUCUCCUCUUUAGAUGUGAGCUUUCGGUGAAUACGACGAGACUGCUUGUUUUCCCCCGCAAUGAUCACUGCGUUUCUCAAGCAGUUUGCACCUACUUACGGACCUCGCAUCUUCAGCCUUGGAUCUUAAAGGAACUGAUAACUCCUCUUCCAGAAAACUGUUCGGUAACAGGUUUCCUGCCCCGGGCUUUACAAGGAUCGCUCUUGUCUCAGAGCCACCGUGUACGUACGAUUCUUUUUUUCACGGAUUUUGGUGGGGGUUUUUUUUGUUUUUUUUUUUUUUUUUUUUUGUUUUUUGUUUUUUGUUUUUUGUUUUUUUUUUUUGCGGGGGGUGGGGGAGGGCGUUAUAUAUUUUUCUGUUACCUUUUCUGCCUGUGAAGUAAUCAGGGAGAACGGCGGGAGGCUCCAUAAAUAUGCAAAUUGGCGCCAGAUAACUGGUUUCGCUGGUUCCGCCUUGGGACUCCCGCCGGGCGGCUCCGCGGGGGAGAUUGUCGCCCCCGGCCCCACGACCCGCCCCCUCUCCCCCCUCCCCGCGCCGGGCACCGCUCUCCGAGCGCGGUCCUUCCCCUCUCCCCGCCGCUGCCGCAGCUCUUCGACGCGUGCCCGCGCCUUCCAGCUCCCUGGCAGCGUCCCGAAGGAGCACCGCGUCUCGUGGCUGCUGGGUGUCACGGGGCAAAAAGUGCGGUAGGCUGAACCGUGCUCGGGCCCUUAUCCUUUCUAACUCGGCAUCCGAAGGAUUAAAAGCAGUAACUGGCUUCCGAAUUGUAAAAUGUUAAAAUGAAAGUUUGAUUCGUGGUUAAACACUCGCGGGAGCGCAUCCUUUGUGGAUUCUGAUUUGACUCUGCUGUUAAACCGACAUCGGUACUGCGCUGACGCUUUAAUUAAUAAAAGUGGUUAGAGUCCUCUCUGUCAUCUCGUUGCUUACCAGCCUCCACACAAACCGUUUCAAGAUUCUGUCUAAAUAGGAGAAUGAGAAGGGAAACAUAAGCCGCCAAAGUUACUUUGAAGGCAGAGAAGCCAGGCGGCUGACACUGAGAGGCAGGGUUUGGUCUGCAGCUCUCCGCAAUCGUCGCAGCUCCCCGCCGCGGAAGCCCGCCCGGCAGCCCGUGCUGCGACGGCACUGCGCUCGCGGAGCGCAGAGGGUGGGAGGGGAGAGGCGCUGCCACUGCCCCCGAGAUUCCCUGUGCCUGUGGAGCCGGGCCUCGCUGGGAAGGAGACGGGGGCGGCCAGAUGGACAAAGGCUGUGGGCAGAUCCGCCUCCGUGUGAGGUAGGGCGGGCGGCAAUGGCCUCGUCCGCGGAGAAGGAAUCUGGACUGCAGACUGGAGGCAGCAAUGGGGGUUACUGUUAAAGUUCAGAGUUAGCCAUUACUGAAAAUCUCAAGUAACUUCUCUGAACCGGAUUUAAGACUUCUUUUUUUUCAUGUUAACUCCAGGUUUGAUUGCCGGAAAAGGCUGACUACUAGAAUAGCAAAACCAGUCCGCCAUCCAGCAGUUGGGAAUCAAGGCCCUUCUUUACCAGAGCCCCAGCCACAUCCAUACUGUCACCCACCUUCCAGACACUCGGCACAACCAUUCACCCUAUUGAAUCAUGAGACUGUUUGAUCUUAUCUGCAUCUGUGAGCUGACUGUCAACCUGCUUACACUGCAUAUUAAAUCAUCUAUAGUAGCUGUAUCAAGCUGGGAUGAUCUGUUAAUUCUAAAUUUACUAACCCUUCGAGUGCAGUCGUUGUGUUUAAUCUAGUGUAGCCAGCAUUUAUUUUACAAGUCUAAAUCCUUCUUCAAGAUAUGUCUGUGCUGUAGGUUAAAAAAUCAUUAAUGUGUAGGAGAUGGUAAUUGGGAAGAGUUCACUUUGAUCUUUGGAAGCCAGUUGACAGCUUCACUGCUCCAAACACAUACGUGUGUGCUCUCACCACUCUCGCGUGCCCGGCGUGCUGGAUGUGUGCAUGCAUACGCACCUAAUGACACUUCCUUGCAGAAAGAGUUUUGCAUGAGACAAGGAAGAAGAGAGGCCUCAGACAAUGCCUUCAUUCCACGUCUCCAUGAAGACUUAUAAUCGAGAGGCAAAUUCCUGGUGCUGCAGCGCAGUGAGAGCAUGUGGCUGCAGGCAGAGCCCUGCGCCAGGAGGGCCAACAAACCUCCCUUCGAGGCAGCACCCAGCUUGAUGAAUGCCUGCAGCCAUUGCCAGCACCGGACAUCCCCACACACUGAGGACCACAGCCCCUGCCAGGCUUGAGAAAGGUCAAGUGCUGCUGUCCGCACCUCAACCAGCGUGCCCCCUCCUAGACACAGAUACAUACACAAAAAAUUGCAUGCAGAUAUGUACAUACAUCUAAAUAUGUUAAUCUGUUCACUGUACACACCCAUCUCUCCCUGUCCCACUCUCCUGUUAUCUAUUAUUCUUGCACGCUGCUGAUGGCAUCAACAUAUUCACAGCUUUUAUUUCAGUCACAAACUGGUAGGCAUGCUUCCUUUUUUGGUAAUCACAUGCCUGGUAUCUCUCUAAUGUAGCCUAAUAACAAUUUUAGCAUUCAGAUAAAAAGAUUUCAUUCUGUGAUUGCCUUUUCUAUUAGAUUUGAUUCUGAGAAGCCCCAGUGGGUGCCUCCGAGGCAGAGAUCUAUCUGUGAGGCUGCAACCGAUUCAAUAGCAGCCUGAGCUAACCUUGACCUUUCCCUAGACCCUACUCCAUCUGGUGCCAGCCUGGUCCCCCCCUUCUCCUCCUCCUUGCUUCACAGGCAGCAUUGAUCAAGACGAAAUCGAGCGGCUCUCUCCCUCGGAGGGCUGGGCAGUCACAGGAAGGACAGCACAUUUCACUAUAUGGAGACAACUGAGCUUCUUAUGCAAUCAUAUAUCUACAUAGAGGCUUCUGAUUUGAUAUUUCCUUCACUUCCUAAGGUUCUCCCCUCCCUCCCCCAGCAGGGAUUUAUAAACUAUAAGACAACCGCUUUCCCCAACACCUGGAAAUUAUAAAGCUGGCUGUUGGGAACGCAUCCUGGCGAUUUGAUCUGAUUUACUUGGCUUCUUAUUUAUUUCCUUGCAGCUCGCUCCAUCUUUUUCCUGCGUCCGUGGUUCUGUAUCUCUGUCUCUUCUUUCUGUUAUUUUCCCCUGUUCGGCGGCGGCCUUUAUUCAUCUCCUCGGGGAUGCCGGGUGCCGCUGUGGGUAGGCUGGAGGGGCCAGCUGGUGGCUGGCCGGCUCGGGAGGACCGGCUCCCUCCGAACCCCGGCACCGACUGUCGGCUCUCUCGGCCGCGUUUCUCUGUCUGGAAAUGAGAAGAGGCUCCCGCGAUCAAUCGGCACUCAGCACUUCGUGCUUCGUGUUCUUCCCCUCUUCUCCGCUCUGCCGCUGCACCUGGCCCCCAGCACUGCCUGGCCCCCAGAGCUCAAGCGGAAUUGCGCCGUGCCCCACGGCCCCGCACCGCCCCACGGCCCCGCGCAGCCCCGCGCCGCUCGCCGAGGCGUUCCGACGCGCUCCCGCCCCCGUUCCCUCUUCGGCAGCAGCCGCGCUGGGGUUCGCCUCGCGGACAACCGCCGCGUCCGCGCUCUCAUCUCCUCUCAUCUCCGUGUGGGUUCCUUAAUUGCCAGGACGUUCGUUUACAAUCCGCGAUCUGCUUUUUCUUCCCAAGAAUUGUAGCAUGACCGCGUUUUCUCAUCUCACACCAGUCUUCAGAUUAUAUAACAGAUGAUGCAAAAUUAUAAUGACGAUCUAAUCUAUGCACACUGUAAUUAUAGAGUUUCCUGCACACACACAGCUCUUGCAGUAUCUGCAGAGCUGACAACUGGCUGUAGAUGCAGAGUACAAAAGAUAGAGACUGAUAUUUGGACCCACAUAUGUUUAAGAGAGAGAUAUUACUUAAUGGGAGAAGGGAUCUGGAAAUGCAUUUCUCUUUCUUCUGAGGAAUUUGUUUUGCUUUAUCUCCAUCGGUUGUAAUAGGAAGAAACUGUGAAUUACGCUGAAAAAAAAAAAAGACAUAUACUCAAUUUAUCAGUUUACUAUUACAUUUCCUAUCUCCAGUGUUACAAAGAUUUAGAACAUUUCCAAAACUUUUGGAUCUAAUCUGUGUUUUGUGCAGCCUACAGUUUGUUUGCAGGACCUGCCACCACACGCCAGCCAAAAAUGAGUGUCAAUUAAUAACAAAAAACUCCCUUCCUUCCUUAUUUCUGCACUCUCAUACCUUAACGGAUAAAACUACUGAUGGUGAGAAUUUUCCAUUACCAACAGUUUUUAUUCUAAAGCACCAAAGCUUCCCCACAUAGAGCUGCUGAAUAUUUCCUUGCUUUUCCCAGUGGCAAUUUACGCACACCACUGCUCAUUUGAAAUAUAAAGAAUAUUCAGCACUUUCAGGAGUGUUUUUUCUGCUACCCAGAUCAGCCAGUAGAACCAAUUGCAAAUCCAGUGACUGCACUGUGCUGUUUGUGGCGUUCCAAAUUAGAAAUCAUUUGAAACCAGAAGUAGGAGGGUUUGUUGGUUUUGUCUUUUUUUUUUCUACUGUUUUCUACAACGUCAGAAGUAACUGAAAAAACAUUCACCCUUGUGACACAACAGAAUUUAUGAGCUCUUUUCUUUCUGAGCUACCUGAGCAGUCCUGUCAUCCCUGCAGAAAUGCCCAUGUGUGGGUUGCUGUUUAAAACCGUAUUCUACUUAUCAAUAAAAUGUGAAAUGGCUUAAAAAACA